GAAGUGAUUUGCUCAAGGUCACACAGCAGAUGUUCCUUGGAGUAACACGGGUGAUUUAUUAACUUUCAGCCUACUCGUCUUUCUUUUGCUGGGUGUGCACUGCAAACUAGCAAGAAUUUACUCAUACCAAAACUUGGAACCUUUGCAAGGAAGUGACUUGUAUGGAAAAGGAGAAAAAAAAUAAGAUUUAACUUCACCACAUAUAUUUUCACAAGUAUCUUUUAGAAAAUGUCACCUAAUUUUAAAAAGGAGCUUUAGUUUCCAUUCCACAGGUUACUUAAACAGGAAUACUUGAUGUCAGAAUGUCCUCUAUAUGGUAUUGCAUCUGCAUGCUGAAAAAUAAUAUAAAUGGUUAAUGAAUAUUGCACCAUAUCAGUUUCCUGUUCCAGUUGGCUGCCUUGUUAUGUUGGCAGCAAUUCAGGGGCCUGCAGAGCUGCAGGCAUAUGUCUCAUGUUAAAAAGUCUCAUGUUAUAAACACUUCAAUGAAAAUUACCAUCCAGUUUGGAGCCAACUCUGACCAGGUGCUGAAGAGAAAAUAAAUAGGUAACAUAUGAAAGCAGAAUCAAAGUUGGACUUCUAUGGGGAUUAUGUUCUAUGCUACAUUUAAAACGUCAGUUUGAAAUCUGAACUAAAAUAUCUCUGCCCUGGACAAAGAAGUCUAAUUCUUUUACUGUUGAUAUUGACCAGUUUUUCAACUGUGUCUUUUGUUAUAAGACAUCCAACAAAAUGUUUGUAAACAAAUACUGUAUUACUUAUUUCUCAACACUAAUUUAGAGUUAAGCUGAACAAAAAUACAGAUAAAAUUGCCUCCCUGGUGGUCCCCUACAAAAAUUCUCCAGGUAUCCUGAUUAGACAGGAGCAGAGGUUAAUUCUGAGGAUCUCUCCCAUUCUGAAGCCAGAGAAAUCUGAAUUGGACAUUCCACAACUCUCAUUUUCAAAAGCAGAGUGUUAUUUCCUGAUUAUCAUGUAUAACAAGGUUCUAGGGAUUCUACCACAGCUGACAUAGGGUUUGAACCUGCACCAUCCAAGUCAAAAGGAAUUUUUCCAUCAAGCCCUUAAAAAGACCAUAGCGAAAGUUAUUCGGAUCUUAGAAGUCUGUGUGUUCCUGCAGAAAAGGCAGGAGACUGGGAGUCAGGAGUCCUACAUUUUGUUCCUGGCUAAGACACUGACUGAAGCAAGUCACUUCACUGCCUGAGUUUCCCCAUCUGUAACAGUGGGUAUAACACCUAGUUACAAUAUACUGUGAGGUGCAAAUUAAAACUUGUCAAUUGUUUUGAGAUACUUGGGGCAAUAUGAACUCCCAGUUGCUGCACGGCCGUGAGAAGAUGGACUGGAACACCCAGUCAUUGAAAAUGGCAGGAAGCUAAUUUGCAUGAGUUCUUCACCUCUCAUGUAGCACCAUAACUUGGCCAUGAAGCAGCUUUGUUUUACGUCAGAUUCACCAUCUUCUGUGGUUACUUGAUCGCAAAUAUUUUCAGCUGGAUUUUGUCCAAAAUAUGUCAGGUAAAUGAUUGAAAGGUAACAGAAGAUCAUUUUUAUGUUUAGUUUUAUAUGCACACAUUGCAAGGCAGAGAAAGGAGCAUUUUAAGUUUUGGUAAUAUCAGCUGGUGCUGCAGGAGAAAAACAGCAUCCUGAACAGGUGUCUUGCGCCUGAAAAGCAUUUCAAUGCACCUUUGAACAUAGCGAUCUGUUUUUAUUUGGUCCUGCUGUAACGAUUUCAGCACUAUGGCACUGUAGCGAGAUCAGCAAAGGCUGUAUUUUGACAUAAACUAUAAAAAGAGAAAUCAUGCCAAUAAACUCUGUUAUCUCUAUAGGACAUAAGUAGGGUCUACACUGACCAAGAACGAAUCUUUUAGCUACUGAAAAAAAAUUGUUAUAAUCUAUGAAGGGCUUCUGUUUACAAUUUGAUUGUGGCCAGUCUGUCACCAACCAACAUCAUCUUCUAUUUUAAUAAAAUCAUUAUGACAUUCAGAGACAUCACGGCUCCAUGACAAUGACAUCUUUCCAUUCAAAUCACAUCAGGUGGUCUACAGAGAUCCUGCCCAAUGGAGUCUUCAGUGAUUUGCUAUCAUCACAGAGGAACAUUUAUAGCAAGAGGCUUGCGCAAUAGAGUAGAUUCCUGCAAUAAUACUGCCUGCAACUGAGCAUGUCUGGAGCAUAACCCAGUGGAACGAGAUCUUCUUAGUGAUAUAAAUUAAUGUGCAGUCGUCUUGCUUACAUCAGACAGGAAAGUAAUCUUUUACUUUAAAAACAGGGAUUGGAGAAAGCUAAUCUGUAUUUGAGAGAGCAGUGCUCCUGGAAAUUCAAAAUGUUUUGCUGUUUGAUGCUUUGAGGCAUUACCCCACUCCCUGUAACCACGCUAUGAACUUUUAAAAUAAACAGUUUAGUUUAUAAAUCUUAGCUCUGGCCUGGAACAGAUCUGUAUCUAAUAACCCCAUCUAUAGGCAGAUGCCCACACAUGCCUGAAAUCAAU